UUAGGAGACUGAAUUAGUAAGAUCCCAAGCUUGAGGCCGAUCUGGACUAUGUAGCCAAUUGGAGGCAGGCCUGGGCUACAUAACACAAUAUCAUUUCAAUUACAGAAAAGGAAGAAAUUCUGUAGAUACAUAGGUAUUUACAGCUUUCUAAGCUUUUUUGUUUUGUGCUCCUUUUACGGUACCUGCACAUCGGAGGCGUGACUGUUGCUGCACAGAGUGAUGUGGUUUUCAGUGAGGAGGGUCCUACCAGCUUUGCUACCAGGGCACACAGGCUAAUAACACUGAGUGUUGGGACCUUGAUCACUGUCAUAUGGCUCUCGUGCUCUGGAUGGGAGUCAUGGAGAUAGUCUGGUAGCUUCUGAGAAGCGUGAAGUGGUUGUUCCCCAGAGCAGCCUGCACGUUAAGUGCCCCUCUGCUUAGGCUGCUGCUCCUUAAAGUUCAGUCAUUGUAGGGUCUUAUCCGGAGCCUUCCCGAUGGCCCAGACUCACUCCCUGACCCUGUGGAGUACCUGCUCCUCCGUUGGCCACCACAUGAAGUUCUGUGCCAUGAACCAGAACACACACCGUUUCUCCGUUUAACAGUGAUUUAGUCUGGGAUUGUACCAAAGCUGGGCAGGGAUCUUUAUCAACUCAUGGAGACUGGAGAAUUCAGGAUGCAUGUCCAUGUCUUGUCCUAUGCCAGUGCCAGCGCCCCGGUUCUGUAUGUCUGAGAUAACGGGCUUCUAACUGUGGUAGAUUUAUGCUCAGCAGAGCGUGUUUCAUGCAGACAACUUGGAGAUGUCGUUUUCUACUAUGACUGUUGUAUUUAUGCAUCACCUCAGAGAGCGGAGCUUUGACCUACUGCCAUACACCACCUCUUCUGUAUCUCAUCCCACUCUGGAAGCCAAGGCCAAGGGAUAUCUUUUUUUCCUCUUACUCCCUUGCAUGUUCAGGUACCCCACCCCUACGACUCUGCGCCCAACUUUCCCUUAACAUUGGCUCUAUUCUAAACAAAACAAAAACCAAAGAUGAACACACAUGCACAAUCUCCUAACCAGAUCAGCCAGCCUUCUUUAUCCCCAUCGUCCCAAGAGCUGCUGGAACCCUCUGUGGACUUGCCCCUUGAUAAACGUGCUUGAGACACAGUGAAGCAAUGGUUCCCACGGCCUUGGGGAAUAUAACACAGCAGUUAUGCUUGGGGAAAGCCUGACAAAUUUUAAAGAUUCCCUAGGAAAGAAACUCUGUAAUGUCCCUUAGUAAAUGAUUUCUGACUGUAAUAACCAUGGCUACUAGAAUGAUCCUCUUCCACUGCGGCUGAGCCCAGUCUCCUCAUUUGAUUCGUCACUAAAGACAGAGAACAGAUGGCCAGCAUCUGGUGCCUCACCCUUGCUCUUCUUUCUGGAAUCUUCUCUGAGCUUAAAAAAAUAUCUUUAAACUACUCAUAUUUACCCUUUAAGAUGUUUUGUUUGGUUUCUUUUAAAUCUGUUUUUUUUUAGAGUUUCAAGCUAUAGGUUAUGAAAGAUCUGAUAAGUAUGUAUUAAAAAAGAAACCUUGCAGUUUCUAUUAGCAGCUCAUGUGAGCUAGAAGACUGCUCAUUUCUCCACCGUGCUCCUGCUCAUUUCUCUGCUUUUCUCCACCAAGCAUUCUACACCUGCACCCUCCCCUUUCUGCCAACUCAGGUGCCCUUUACCCAUUGACUUCUUUUUAGCAUUUGCAUAUGGUUGUGGUUCUCAGUUUCUGGACCAUUGUGAAUACUGUGACAAUAUAAGAGACACAGAAAACAAGCCAAAACCCAGAUGUUUAGUAUCUUGCAGUCUGUGAUUUAUAAUUAUAAGUUGAAUAUCCCUAAUCCAAAAAACUGAAAUCUAAAAUAUUCCAAAAUCCAAAAACUUUCAGCACUGAUAGAGGGAGGCUUCCUAUCCGUGUGUUUUCUUCCUGGUUGGCCUCCUGGUGUGGUUUCCUCUAGGAGUGUUUGCAGGGCCACUUACUCAUUUUUAAAAACAGAUUCAUCACAAGCAUUUUACUUGGUUUGUGUUCUUGCUUAGAGAAGGGUCCUAAUUAAUCUUACAAUAGAAAUUGCCAUUUGGAGUGUGGACUAAGUGCUGGAUUCUCUCCAUAUACAGAAGGUCAUUAUGUGUCACCACAUAAGG
rnacentral:lncRNA from 1 species